rnacentral:rRNA from 1 species
AGAGUUUGAUCCUGGCUCAGGAUGAACGCUGGCGGCGUGCCUAAUACAUGCAAGUAGAACGCUGAAGCUUGGUGCUUGCACCGAGCGGAUGAGUUGCGAACGGGUGAGUAACGCGUAGGUAACCUGCCUGGUAGCGGGGGAUAACUAUUGGAAACGAUAGCUAAUACCGCAUAACAGUCGACAUUGCAUGAUGUUGAUUUGAAAGGGGCAAAUGCUCCACUACCAGAUGGACCUGCGUUGUAUUAGCUAGUUGGUGAGGUAACGGCUCACCAAGGCGACGAUACAUAGCCGACCUGAGAGGGUGAUCGGCCACACUGGGACUGAGACACGGCCCAGACUCCUACGGGAGGCAGCAGUAGGGAAGCUUCGGCAAUGGACGGAAGUCUGACCGAGCAACGCCGCGUGAGUGAAGAAGGUUUUCGGAUCGUAAAGCUCUGUUGUAAGUCAAGAACGAGUGUGAGAGUGGAAAGUUCACACUGUGACGGUAGCUUACCAGAAAGGGACGGCCAACUACGUGCCAGCAGCCGCGGUAAUACGUAGGUCCCGAGCGUUGUCCGGAUUUAUUGGGCGUAAAGGGAGCGCAGGCGGUCAGGAAAGUCUGGAGUAAAAGGCUAUGGCUCAACCAUAGUGUGCUCUGGAAACUGUCUGACUUGAGUGCAGAAGGGGAGAGUGGAAUUCCAUGUGUAGCGGUGAAAUGCGUAGAUAUAUGGAGGAACACCAGUGGCGAAAGCGGCUCUCUGGUCUGUCACUGACGCUGAGGCUCGAAAGCGUGGGUAGCGAACAGGAUUAGAUACCCUGGUAGUCCACGCCGUAAACGAUGAGUGCUAGGUGUUAGGCCCUUUCCGGGGCUUAGUGCCGGAGCUAACGCAAUAAGCACUCCGCCUGGGGAGUAC